rnacentral:rRNA from 1 species
GGCAACCUGCCCGCAAGACCGGGAUAACUCCGGGAAACCGGAGCUAAUACCGGAUAACACCGAAGACCGCAUGGUCUUCGGUUGAAAGGCGGCCUUUGGGCUGUCACUUGCGGAUGGGCCCGCGGCGCAUUAGCUAGUUGGUGAGGUAACGGCUCACCAAGGCGACGAUGCGUAGCCGGCCUGAGAGGGUGACCGGCCACACUGGGACUGAGACACGGCCCAGACUCCUACGGGAGGCAGCAGUAGGGAAUCUUCCGCAAUGGGCGAAAGCCUGACGGAGCGACGCCGCGUGAGCGAAGAAGGCCUUCGGGUCGUAAAGCUCUGUUGUUAGGGAAGAAGAAGCCCGCUCGAACAGCG